AUCCUGCUCCUGUCAGUACUGAGAAACUUCCUGUAUAUUCAGGCAAGAGUGUUGAAGGCACUACCUAAAGUGCUUUUGUAACUGGGUUGGAGUGGUUUAAAACAUGCCUGGCAUGCAGUUACUCCUCUCUUAACGCUAUGGUCCCAGUCUUACAGGAUGAAAAGUUUGUGGAAUCCAUUGGUCAGGAAUCCUAAAAGGGAAGAAAAAACACCAUAAAGCAUAGUAAGUCCUUGAAUAGCUCCAUCAGCUGCACUGAGGGGCUGCCACUGUGUGUUUGCAGUGGAGCACUGCCUGCCCUGGGCUGGCUUUCAAGGCAAAGUGUUUCUCAUCUCUUUCCAUCGCUGACUUUGGGGAGGGGUUGUAGGUUCUCGGUGAUGCACAAGUUCUGGCAGCCCCUGGGGAGCUAGGGGUGUACGGAUAUAUUCUGUAUGCACCUGUAUUGUUCUUGCAUUCAAAAGUGUUUGCACGGCUUCACAAGGAUGGAGAAGCACUGCUAAACCCAUACCCCAUGCAUAUGCACAUGCUUUAUUUAUUUGGUUAGUGUUUCAGAUUUCAUGGGUAUUUUAAACUAACUAGCAUAGCCUUGUCAUCAUUAACAUGUGCUCAGUGGUUAUGGUGCUUCUACAGUGUUGCUUUUUAUCCUAAAUGCUUGGGAAAAACCUCAGCCUUUUAGGUGAAUCCAAGCAUUUCUCAAAGCAGAACGUGUAUAAAAUCAGCACCUGUUAAUGUAUAAAAUCUCUGCCGUCCCUUACUGUGGAGUUGCAAGGAAAAUAAUUUAAUAAAAUAAGUUACUUUAUUUUCUCAAAAAUAACAUUUUUGCUUGAUUGUGAAACUGAGCAAAAAGAAAGAGUGAAGAAAAGCUCAAUAAACAGCCAUUUUAUUACUGUUGCUAGAAAUAAAAUAAGGGUAAGGGAGACUUGGCUACUGUUUUAUUGUAGCUGUGAAUUCACUUCUUUCCUUUAAGUGUCUGUCACAUUAGUAGAAAAAUACAGAUCACUCUGAAGUGUGUACACUGGCAGUGACUAUGCCCAUUUUUCAUUUUAAAUAACUUUCAGCUGGUUUUCCCUUUCCACAGUUGGAGGUGGCAGGCUGGGAUAGGAAGGGGUGCAAAAUGAAAGCAGCAUGUUUUCGUGGGCUUCGGGUGAGAAUUUGGUACAAGUGGCUUUGCUCAGUUCUUACUGUAAUACAUUCUCAGUUUAAUUGAGGGAGUUAAAAUGAAAAGAAUUAGCUUGAAUAUGUGUGCUUUAUAUAAUCCUGUCACAAUAUGUUAAAUGUAAUAACAAACCAAAUUAUUCCCAAAUCGCUUCUCACUAUUGAAUGUGUAUUUUGUGAACUGAAAUGAAUUAACUAUGAAGCCACUUUGCAUCAGUGUUUUUGUAUGUCAAACAUUUGACUCUACCACAAUGCUGAAAUGAUGGCUUGUAAGUCAUCCCUAGUAGAUAUAUGCAAGUUUAGCUGGAUUAGUUGAGAAUUAAACUUUAA